UACGUAGGGCGCAAGCGUUGUCCGGAAUUAUUGGGCGUAAAGAGCUCGUAGGCGGUCUGUUACGUCCGCUGUGAAAACCCAGGGCUUAACCCUGGGCUUGCAGUGGAUACGGGUAGACUAGAGGCAGGUAGGGGAGAAUGGAAUUCCCGGUGUAGCGGUGAAAUGCGUAGAUAUCAAGAGGAACACCUGAGGUGAAGACGGGUUGCUGGGCCGACACUGGCGCUGACAGCGCGAAAGCCAGGGGAGCAAACGGG
rnacentral:rRNA from 1 species